CCAGGUCGACUGCCCGAGCGUAAGAGAAACGGAGGCAUGAUUUUGUUAAAGUCUACAAAUACAUACCAGUUAUUAACUCUUCUAUCUAAUAGCAUCUUUUCCCAGAACGACUGGUUGGUUUUGUAUUUACGUCUCGGUACAAACAGAGAUGUCAAUCAGGACAGAACGUAACAGAUGGACAGAGGAGGACCAUGCUACGCGUGGUUAAUUUUCCUCCGUCCAGACGACUGUCAGAAAGACAGAGUAAAGGCCAGCGGGGGAGCAGGUGACACUGACUGAUUGUAGAUUGUAUAUUGUUUGCAUGUGGCCUUUUGUCCUGACUCAUGACUAUGGAGAAAAAUCACCUCUAGAAUCCACCGAUGACCUUCGGUGACUGGUUUGGCCUGCGAAUGAAUCAAAGCUAAUUCCCAGAGAACUGAACUGAUUUCGAGACACGGCGAUGAUCAACAAGACUUCAAGUUCCUGCUCAGGCACGGAAAAUACAUUUGACUCCACUCUACAAUUAAUAAACUAGACCGUGUCGACCAACAUAAAGUGCCCUGUGGUAAACUUUGUGUUUUGUUUAUGUUUGUAUUUGCUUCCAGCAGCGUGUUUGACAUUUAACGACCUUUCGAGAGAACUUGUUUCCCCAAGUUUCGGAGGAUUUUUUCUCGCCUUCGCCGGAUCAUGGAAAUACUUCCUAUGACUUCAGAACGAGCAACCCCCGACAACCAACAUCACUAUGAGGUGUUCAUUGAUUUUGCAACGGACACUGUGAGGACGGACCGCCUGCUGUUUGAGAUUUUCUUCAAGGUCAAGGCAUUCAUUCGUGGUCUCAGCUCUUUUUCCAAAAAGAAAUCUCUUCUGUGAAGCAUCAUAGCAUCCAUAGCACAUCGAUGCUGUCCAGCUCCUGUCUCCACGUGUCUGGGUUGAAGGAUCUCAGGAGCUGCUCCACAGUGUCAAAAGCAGCGAUGGUCUGGUCCAGAUCAUCCAGCGAUAAAGGAACUGCCGUGACGGGGGCCUGCAUCUGCCCUCCAAUGCUGUCCUGCAAUGAGCGGAGGACCAUAGGUCAAGAUGGACGACAAUCACAAUCAGAUGCUGACAGCAUGGGCUGCCAUUACCAGCACCGACCUCCAUCUCGGCACGAGGACAAAGACGUUAUUACUCAGUGGAGCGGAGGAAACGGAACAUUAUUUACGGCGGAGUCCGGUGGCGACGACACCAGGGAACUGCCCUUCCCGACCCUCGUUUUGGACAACAGAGCCACCGAGGAGUGCACCACGUGGGUAGAUGGUAAGUAAGGCUGCGGCGUUUCCCCGUUGAGUUUUACCCUGCAUGACUAAGGAGCCCAUUUACAGCCAGAAUACGCACAGGUUAUAAAUAGAGAAAUCACAUGGGCUUCAGUUGUGCAGUCUCAUCUCUCUCUCUGACUAAGCCCAUUUUCAAUUGAAGGCCAAAUGCUUUCCUGUUGGGAUGGACGGGUGGAGGGGGGAGGCACAAAGGAAGAGACGAAACGAAGGGUUUACGUAUUCCUGUGUUUGGAUUUCUUUUUAUGUGCCACAGUAUUUACACUGAAUGUGAAAUAUCAGUAGGAAAUAAGAAAUAGCUGACCAGACUUGGCUCCUCCCACUGCAGAAAACCUCAGCUCCCACUUCUUUCCUUCUUUCAAUAAAUCACAAAUCUUAACAAUUACAAUAGAGAGAAAAAUCAUUCUUAACAUUCAAGGAAAAAAAGUAUUUUUAUUUUCACCUAUCUUGUAAUUCUUCCAUUCUUUAUCCUAACUAAUAAGUUAUGUCACGAUGCAUCAUGAGUCGAUUCAAAUGCGUUAUGAUUCGCAUGCAUUUUUGAAAAAGCACCAUAAGAAGUGCGCUGCGUUAUCUUAAAAAAAAAAAUCCUUGCGAUCACACACUCCAGUACAGUAAGUCAGUAGGCUGUGAAUGUUUGGGCAUUUCCUGUAUUCUAAAACCUUCGGCCAUUUGCAGUUCAGAGGAGAGGAAAGAUGAAAUGCUGUUCUGUUUGUUUUUUUUUUUUUUCUUCUGGACUUUACUGAUAGGUUGAAUGAGCAGAAUUAACUUUAGCUAGUUCACCUAAAUUUAGCAAUUUGACUUUCUGUAAAGUUUAAAUAGUAAUUAACUGGAAUGCGUGACAAGUGCAGCAAGUGGUAGGACGUCGUGUGUAAAACGUUUGGUGUUUGACUCCAAUGUGUGCUACAGUUAUGAUACAGACCUCGU